UGCGGCUUUAGGAAUAUUGGCAAGGAAUUAUUAGGAUGACUUAAACCGAUUGUUGGAACUCGGAACUCUGCCGACAGCUUCCUUCUGCUAGAAUUUCACUCUAGGUACAACUCGAUGCUAAAGGAAGAAAUUCAUGGCAAUAAGCCAAAAUCUGUGAGAUUUUAUGGAAAAUUGUGAUAUCUGGGUCCCUAGGUGUUCCACUGAAUCCAUUGCAUGCAAAAAAUAUGGGAUCACAAGAUCAGAAAAUUUUCAACAUUGUGGAGCUUGUGAUAUCAAUGAUUUGGGUACCCUAGGGACCCAAAGAAUCCAUUUCUGCCGAAUCUGAUACAAAGAUCAGAAGUUAUCCAACAUGCAAUGCAAAUGCAAAUGGAUAUUUUCUGAUGAGCAAGUAAUCAAAGUAAGGCAAGCUCUCUUGUCCAUAAUUUGUUGAUUAAUGUAAAGAAUCCUUCUUU
rnacentral:lncRNA from 1 species